CCCCAUUUGUAUGUGUUUACUACGCUGUUGUUGACUCCUUGGUCGGUCGUUUUUUUUAUUCGUGUCAGUUGUGUAUUACCUUCUCAUGGCAGCUUGAAGAACAGGAGCAAAUAGGAACUAAGACCUUUUCUAAAAAAAAAAUAGGAACUAAGAAGGCAUGUUCUUAGGUGUAUGUACACAGGAUGAUAGGCUUUUAGACUUUAGCAGAAUAUCAGAUUGUGCAAAUUGCAGAGAGAAACUGGAGAGUG
rnacentral:lncRNA from 1 species